UUUUUGUUAGUACGUUUGCAAUGUAUAAUGAUUCAGUGCUAUGCAAUUUGCUAUUAUAUCUAAACCAUGUUGAAACUCUUUGAGAUUAAGUUUACAGACAAAUGUAAUACUCUUCCGGGAGGAUUUUGGUCUGGCGUUGAUGUUUAGAUAAAUAAACCACACGUUGUGAACAAACGUCUUUGUGGAGUCAAAAGAGGUUUUGAAGAACUUGCAAACAUCCUCCUAAUUCAUGGAUGUGUUACGUCAGAGUCCAAGGAUGUUCUUUCUUUAGUGAAUAGUGAUAUUGAACUUGAAUAUGACAAGCAGAGACGGGUAUUUUUCUGUGAGGACAUUCAUUCCUAAAGUAAACUUAUGGCACAACAGUACAUAAAGACAUACUCAAAAACUUUGAAUCUCAAAGGGUAAAGUAAGCUUCGUACCAGUUGAAGAGAGUUCGGAAGGUACUGCGUCUGGAAGGAAGAACAUCUAUCAGAUACACCUUCUGCCUGAGAACAAUGAUGAAUGCACCCUGGAAAGGGCAUCGAUGUGAGGAAACGGAAGAUCUGGAAUAUGUACGGCCCAUGAACCUAUCUAGAGGUGUGUCUGGUAGGAAAGUCAAGGAGCUACCAGCUGUCGGACGAGCGGAGAGCCAAGUAUAUACAGGGUCGUCAGACCUGCUCCGGGGUCACAGUACAAGGGUCAAACGUUGAGGGGGAAGCUGAGACUGACAGGUCCCAUGGGAACAACUGGGGAGCUGGGUUCCAGCCCCGAGAGAGGAUCGAGACUGUGUGGAAUUGCGCCGCCCUCCCCCGGGAUUUUGUAGAUGGUAUAGUCUUACAUGUGGCCAACACUCUGCUUGGGUCGACCAAGGACAAAGGCGGGGAUGUCCCUGAUGCCUGGAACACUGGAGCACCAAUAGGAAGGCCCCUGGAGGUGCAGUGCAACCCUGCUUUGAACCCUGGAAGUGUUUCAUCCUUUGCCAGCUACAUCCUGUACUACACACACCGCCCCAUCUCUCCUUUAUCAACCCCCUCCAGAUUAUCCCCUCAUCCUACACACACACACACACACACACACACACACCUGCACCCAAGGUACGACAGAUGAGAUAAGGGGAUGAAGUGUACUCUGAUUAAAACAGGAGAAUCUCUUUCAGGACUGGAAUUAGAGAGAGGGACAGAAAGGUAGAGUAGGGAGGGGGUGAAAAAGAGGAUGGAGAGACAGAGCACCUGUAACCCGGGAUGGAGAUGAAUGGAUGAAUAAUGCAUUCUGAUCCAUCUUUUAUGGAUGACUCUGUAUUUGUUUCCUCCUAUGGUGCUGCUCUGAAAAGAGGGGGGGGGUGCUGGGACACUGACAGUGGCUAGCCCGCGAAUUUCACUGUCUCUCUCUCUCUCAAUAGAUGUGACAAGCUAAACAAUUGCCUCAUGCAAGUUUGAAAGGAACACAAGAACUAUAAGAUGCAAUAUUUUCCACAAUCAUACUGUGUAAUUCAUUCUUAUAGUCGACUAGCCUACUAAUUGUGUGCAAACACUGUAUGGUCGGAUGAAAGGUUUUGUGCCUACAUUUUUACCGGUAUUGUGACAUUUUUGCAUUGUAUUUUUAGAUUUCAGUUCUCCUUAGGAUUCAUUAUUUUAGUAUAUGGGCUAAAACAGAGGCAACAAACAAAUACAGUAUCUCUGUUUCCUCGUAGUCACUAAAUAAAUGUUAACGUGCAAUCAACCUUGUGCUCACAGCAGUACACAAACACAGUAUCUAUGGACAACCCAUUAAUAACAGUCUAGGAGGCCAGCCCAGGUCCAGACUAAUUCCACAUUGUCAAUAGCCCCAGUUAUCCCACUCAUCUCAAUUAGCAGUGUAGGCUAUGGUCUCUAAAGGGCAGCUGUAAACGUUGUAGUGAUGUUAUAGUAGGGUCCUGGGCCCCCGCAGGUUGAAGUUUGUCCAGAAUCUUGCCCUGGAGGCAGAACUGAGACAUUUCCACUAGAUGGGCCAGCUGCAAAGUCAAAAUUGUCUAUAUCAUAAAGGUUAGGGUUGGCAAUGUGGUUAAGGUUAGGUUUAAAAUCAGAUUUUAUGAAUUUGUGCCUGUGCCAGCUAGUGACCACUUUGGAGAGCUGCCUCCAGGGCAAGAUUCCUGACAAUAAAUGCCAACCUGCUGUCAGCUGCUCACUGUUCACACGUCCCUUGGCAUACUAUCCCUAGCUGCAAACAAAACAAAGGUUGAGUGUCUUGAAUAUGUUGCAUAAUGUGGUGCAGUACUGUAACAAUAAUCUCUAUGUAAGCUAAGUAGGCCAUGUUUAACACUAUACAAAAUCAACAGAACAGUUUUGAAGUUGAUCAUCUAGAGUGGAGGGCCCUUGGUGAUUGAUUGACAGGUAUUGUGCUGUCAUUUGUUGGUAAGAGGGUAAUAGCUUUGCCACAGCAGGGAAAUCACAAUGGGGUGCCCACUGUCCAGACUUCUGGGUCUGAUAUAAUAAACACAUGGGCUAUCCUCGCGACUGUAGUCUAUAUAACUAUAAUGAUGUAAAAAACAACAACAUGGGGGAACCUAAGGUGGAGCUGCAUUCCCGUAUGCCAAAGAGAGAAGAUGAGAUUGUCAUAUAUACGAACCAAAGGUCAAAACAGAUUGAAUUCUCCAUGUAGAAGGGAAAGGAAAGCCAGAAAUACCUUAAUCUCCAUGAAAUGGAACUUAAAGGUUGGCUAGCUGCUCUGCUGCGAACUCCACUGGGAAUUCAUAUCUUGGCUUACAAAUAUUGUGGAAACACAAAAAUAGUUUUUGGCCAUGCAUACACAUUAUCUAAGGCAGCCUGGGGAAUGGGUUAAUUUUAAUACCUCCCUCUCUCGUAACUCGUUGGUAUCUGAAAUGACGCUGGGGAACUAAGGUGGUGACAUGUUCUCUUAUGACAGCAUGUUGGACUGAGUUUAAUUGACUUCACAGCUCUGACUGUCUGACACCUGAGAUGAACUUUCUGAGAGAACAAGUUCUUUUUUGAGGCUCUAAUUUAGCACAACUCCCUUAUCUCUCAGGCUAUGUCCCAAAUGGCACUGUUUUCCCUUUGUAGUGCACUCCUUUUGACAAGGGCUCCAUUUUGGCUUUGGUCAAAAGUAGUGCACUAUGUAGGAAAUAGGUUGCCAUUUGGGACGCAGCCUGUGCCAUCCCAAAGGUCUCUCCAGUCACUCUUACAUUUCAUCCUUCUCCAUUCUUGAACCCUGAACCACCACCUUCUCCUUUUUCAUUCCAAAUGCACUCUUUCUCACUCUCUCCUCUUCAGGCAGUCUGUCAGGGAGAGAGGUAGCUGAGCUGUUGGAGUAGGAGACUGGUCCUAAAGAAGGAGUGUGGAGGUCUGUACACCCUGCUCAAGAACAACCACCAGGUCUUCAGAGUAAAGGCGGUAUGGUCCAUAUCCGGAACUGGCGGGUACAGACCCAGAGACCCAGAAGGCUGCAAGGUACCAGGGCUGAUGCGAGGCGGAAGCCCCUACUCUCUGGUGUCCUGAAGAUCCGGGCCUGCUGGGUCCAUGCCCACCACCCCCAGGGAUGCCCCCUGCCGGCCGAGGAGUGUGCCUUUGCCCAUUGAGCUGAUGACCUCCAACCUUCCACCAGACUACUCAAGAAAAUGAAUAACUCAAAUUAAACGCUCGAUUCAGUUUAGACCGUUGCUUUAUUUUUACUUGACUUGUUUUUAUGCUGUGAAACGAUGGUACACAAACACCUGUGACUACAAAGUCAUUUGUACAUACUUGGUUGUAAUUUAUUCUAACCAUUUAUUGGACUUUUCAGACCUAAAUCUGGUUAGAUACGGUACUUUUGAGUUUUUAAAUCGGGGAGCAAGCUUUGCUAUUUGUUUUGCACAUCGCAAAUAUAACAUCUAAAAUAUAAACAUCCUAUUGUAUUUAUUACCUCACAAAAACAGGUCAGAAAGGAAGGACGUAUGGGCUUAAAACUGUAAAUGUCAGGGCCAUGAAUUAUUUAUUGGGUAGUGUUCAGGGGGUGUCCUGUGUGUUGCUCUCUGUGUUCCUGCCUGUGUUCUUCUAACCCCUGGGCUCGUAACCCUGUGGCUCAAAGGUCAUAUGGAGGCAGUAGAGGGCCGACCCAGGGACCACCAUGGGGUCAAGAGAUGUGUCUACUGCCAUCCAGGACCUCUACACCAGGCGGUGUCAGAGGAAGGCCCUAAAAAUUGUCGAAGACCCCAGCCACCCCAGUCAUAGACUGUUCUCUCUACUAUCGCAUGGCAAGCUGUACC